GAGCUACAGUAAAAGUUAAGACAGAGCCUGUAAACAAAACUGAGAAUGACUACCACAGAAGGCAGCACUAGACAGCCAUGCAGGCAAAGGUAACACCACACACAGUUUCAGUCUCUCAUUUCUCCUUUUAAAAGCCUAACGCACAUGCAUACUCACAAAUGUUGUUGGUGUACCAGCCAUAUUAAAACCAACUAUCACUAAGUUUACAAUUGCAGACAGACGUUUCCCUUCACACCAACACUCAUAAGCUGUUCAUUUGAUGUCACCAUUACUCUCUGUUACUAAAUACAGUGCCUUCGGAAAGUAUUCAGACCGCCUUAUUCAAAAAUGUAUUAAAUCGUUUUUUUCCCCUCAUCAAUCUACACACAAUACCCCAUAAUGAAAAAUCAAAAACAGGUUCAUAGAAUUGUUUGCUCAUUUAAAAAAUAAAAAAUAAAUCACAUUUACAUAAGUAUUCAGACCCAUUACUCAGUACUUUGUUGAAGCACCUUUGGCAGUGAUUAUAGCAUCGAGUCUUCUUGGGUAUGAUGCUACAAGCUGGAACACUACAAGCUUGGAACACCUGUAUUUGGGGAGUUUGUCCAAUUCUUCUCUGCAGAUCCUCUCAAGAUCUGUCAGGUUGGAUGGGGAGCGUUGCUGCACAGCUAUUUUCAGGCCUCUCCAGAGAUGUUUGAUCGGGUUCAAGUCCGGGCUCUGGCUCAGCCACUCAAGGACGUUCAGAGACUUGUCCUGAAGCCACUCCUAUGUUGUCUUGGCUGUUUGCCUAGGGUUGUUGUCCUUUUGGAAGGUGAACCUUCACCCCAGUCUGAGGUCCUGAGCGCUCUGGAGCAGGUUUUCAUCAAGGAUCUCCCUGUACUUUUCAUCUUUGCCCCGAUCCUGACUAGUCUCCCAGUCCCUGCCACUGAAAAACAUCCCCCCCAGCAUAAUACUGCCACCACCAUGCUUCACCUUAUGAAUGAUGCCAGGUUUCCUCCUUGGCAUUCAGACCAAAGAGUUCAAUGUUGAUUUCAUCAGACCAGAGAAUCUUGAUUCUCAUGGUCUGAGAGUCUUUAGGUGCCUUUUGGCAAACUCCAAGCGGGCUGUCAUCUGCCUUUUACUGAGGAGUGACUUUCGUCUGGCCACUCUACCAUAAAUGCCUGAUUGGUGUAGUGCUGCAGAGAUGGUUGUCCUUCUGAAAGGUUCUCGCAUCUCCACAGAGGAACUCUAUAGCUCUGUCAGAGGGACCAUCGGGUUCUUGCUCACCUUCCUGACCAAGGCCCUUCACACCAGAUUGCUCAGUUUGGCUGGGCGGCCAGCUCUAGGAAGAGUCUUGGCGGCUCCAAACUUCUUCCAUUUAAGAUUGAUGAUGGACUUCCUAUUCCUGCAGGACAUAUAUUCUGUAUGAUUCCUGCAGGAUUGUUUUCCUGAAAGACAACCUGCAUGAUUCACUCAACCAAAUACUUGUUUAUUAUUUAACCCUCUGUUCCCCAUGUUGUGUUCGUGAGUGAUUGUUUAUGGUAAUUCGGUCCGUGUUUGUGGGCUAUCAUUGUUGCCUUGUAUAUUUGUAUUUUUUGAGUAAAGUACUUUAAUUACUCAUAUCUACUGUCCUGUGCCUGACUCCCUACACCAGCUACACAUAGAACCGUUACACAGUGAAAAGAAGGAAGCCUGUACGGAAUAAAAAUAUUCCGAAAAAUGUAUCCUGAUUGCAAUAAGGCACUAAAGUAAAACUGCUACAAAUUUGACACAAGUAGUUAUUAACAGUUGACAUUAGAGUAUAUGGCAACAGGAUGGACAGUCAUUUAUAACACCCAUUAUAACUAGUUUUAUAACAUCUUAUGUUGUUACUCAUAACUAUUUAAAACUAAAUAUGACAGUUUAUGACAAAUGUUAUCAUGUGUUCUAUAGGUGUUAUAAAGGCUUUAUUAAUUCAUACAUUAGGAAACCUACAGUAAAGUGUUACAGAGGUUUCUCCAGCAACAACAUAUGGAGGGUGCUGGCACAGAAGUCCACUACACUACACAUGGGUAAGUGUAUUUGAUUUACAGAGCGUAGUGACACUGACACUGACCUUACCCUAGCACUAAUCCUAAUCCCAGGCCCAAAUUGCAGAUCUGUCAUCAUUGAAGUCCAAAAUCUGUCGUCAUUGUAAAACAAAUCCCGACCUACCGUUUGCAACAUUCGGAGUCUGCAAGAAGAGCCCUGUGGCUUCAUGCUAUUGGGUGUGGGAGAGUGGGAGGUGUCCAAGUAGGCUACACAUAGCUAUGUGUGUGGAAAACAGGAUUAUUUGGGAAAUCGUUCUUCUUGCAAAGCAUGUAAACGUUUUAAUCAAACUACUAUAUAAAUCUGACUAUCCACAAUAAUCACAUUAUUGUCUGCAUGUAACUGUACUCAAUUAUGAAACGCAGGUUGCUGUGAUCUGUGCCUGUGUUUGAGUGAGUGCACAUGUGGGGGAGGGGGACAUUUUCAGAGAGCGAGGGAAAGUGAGUGGGAGAUGAGUGGAGUAAAGUUUUGAGUUUCAACUUCAUUCAUUGGAGUUUAUUUUUUAUUUUUUUAUCAAACUUGGUUCGUGAUUGGGCUACGAGAUGUGGUCAUGUCUAGAUUGGAUACAUAUUUUUUCAAACUUUCAACUUCCCCUUUCGAUUUCUGCGUUCACAAAACACAGGAGAUUUUCUGUUUGCACAUUCCACUUUUAGACUUCAUCUGAGUAUGGCAGCCCAACAACUAAAAUUGGCAAGGUGGCAGAUAGUGAAUGAUUUGAAUGAGCCUAAUAUCAAGGCUAUAUGUGACAAUUUACUACAAAAAAAUGUGAUCAAUAAAUUUGAGAGGGACUCCAUGACACAUAGGAUGCUAGAUAGGGCAGAUAUGGCACGACAACUUGUGGACACUGUUAUCAGCAAAGGUAACAACGCCUCCACAUUAAUGAUAGAAGCACUGCAGCAAGUUGACCAACACCUCUGCAAUGAGAUCGAGAGAAACCUUGCGCUGGCCAAUCACACUGUAGUCCAGGCUGGUGCUCAGGGUGCUCCGGAUGCACCACCAAAUUACGAUGAUUUGAUAUGAGAAUGACUGCAGAGAAAGACAACAGAAGUCACAAUUUUGUGCCUGGACUCCAGACAACCAGAUGACAAUGGUGUUGUUUCAGAAACUAACUGUAUCUUGAUAAUGUGCUACCGUUGGACUGAAAUGUUGGUGGUUUACCCAAUAAAUUACUGGGAGCUUAUAUAUA